GUCCUCGCUUCACAGCACAUAUUCUAAAAUUAGAGCAAUACAGAGAAGAUUAGCAUGGCCCCUACACAAGGAAAAUAUGAAAAUUCAUGAAGCAUUCAAUAUUUUU